rnacentral:ncRNA from 1 species
CAAAGGUCUGGUCCUAGCCUUAUUAUCAGCUCUAACUAAACUUACACAUGCAAGUCUCUUCGCUCUAGUGAAAAUACCCUUGAUCAUCCACUCAGAAGAAAAGGAGUCGGUAUCAGGCUCAAAUAGCCCAAGACACCUAGCAAAGCCACACCCCCAAGGGGACCCAGCAGUGAUAAAUAUUAAACAUUAGCGUAAGCUAGAUUUAGUCACAGUUAAGAUAGUCGGUUAAUUUCGUGCCAGCCACCGCGGUUAUACGAGAGACUUAAACUGAUAACCAUCGGCGUAAAGUGUGAUUAAGGAAGCAACCACUAAAGUUAAACUCCGGCCCAACUGUUAUACGCCCGCGCCAUCGAGAAACCCAUUAACGAAAGUAACUUUAUUUUUCCUGAACUCACGGUAGCCAAGACACAAACUAGGAUUAGAUACCCUACUAUGCUCGGCCUCAAACUUUAACUAAUUACUUCUACAUUCGCCAGGGAACUACAAGCCAUAGCUUAAAACCCAAAGGACUUGGCGGUGCUCUACACCACCUAGAGGAGCCUGUUCUAUAAUCGAUAUUCCACGAUUUACCCCAUCACUUCUUGCCAAAACCGCCUAUAUACCGCCGUCGCCAACUCACCCUUUGAAGGAAACACAGUGGGUUUAAGGAUCGAACACCAAAACGUCAGGUCAAGGUGUAGCUUAUGAAGUGGAAAGAAAUUGGCUACAUUUUCUAUAUUAGACCACACGAAUUAUCAGUAUGAAACCUGAUAUGAAGGAGGAUUUAGCAGUAAAAAGAAAUCAGCAAGUUCUUUUUAAGAUGGCCCUAGAGCGCGCACACACCGCCCGUCACCCUCUUCCACUCAUUUUAUUAAUAUACAUAAUAAAUUUACCAAAGAUCAGAAGAGGAAAGUCGUAACAUGGUAAGUAUACCGGAAGGUGUACUUGGAACAGA